ACCGCUGGAGUCCAAAUAGAAUGGAAGUUUCCAGUCUAGAUGACCUAGAGAUUCCACACCCACAGAGAAAUUGGGCCAAUUUCUCCCUUACCCUUUAUACUUCCCCCAUUCUCCUCUCAGGCCUUUCAUGAUUUCUGCCAGGUGCGUCAGUGUUUACAUACUCUGUCUUCCCUGCCUGAAAAGUUUCCCUUCGGACUCUUUCCUCAGUCAUCUGUACUAAGCUUAUAAAGAGGGUGUACAGAUGUGAUUAAAUUAAGGGUCUCAAAAUGGGGUGAUUAUCCAAGAUGAUCUGAGCAGGCCCUAAAUACAAUCACAUGUAUUCCUAUAAGACUGAGGCAGAGACCAUUUUUUAAAACACAGAAGUGGAGAAGAUGAUGGGACCGUGGAGCCAGUGAUUGGAGUGACGCAGCCGCAAGCCCGGGACAGCCGGAAUGCAGAGCACAUGAAUCACAUCUUUAUUACAUAAAGUUCUCCAGAAUAUGCGUCUAUGGUGUGAAGAGUCCAGCUGAUGAUGGAUGUUACUCAUUGUUUCCCUGAAGGUGCUUUAUUCAUGUUAUCUCCUCACUACAUGAUUCUUCCUCUCAGAUAUUAACCGGAAGGAAUGGUCAGCCUGUAACUACAGCCCCAGGUGAGCAACACAGGCUCUGAACAAUGAGGAUGCAUGAGUUUUCAUCAGUUCUAGCAGGAACUCUUGGCUUAGACAACUAUGCAGUUGAUGGUAUCCCUAUAGGAAAAAAAAUUAUAUAUGCACACACACACACACACACACACAAUUUUGUGAUAGCAGGACAGAUUCAUAGAUUCAUUUUCAGUCAUUUGUUCAACAAAUAUUGGUGUUCAAUAUAUAUUAAUGUUCUGCACUAGGUACUAUGUACUAAAAGUAGAGUAAGGGAUAAAACUAUCUAUUUGAAGGAAUAUACAAACAUGAAUCAAGAAACAGAUAAAAUUCCUAUUACCUUUUAGGAAAAGCAACAUUAACAGAAUCUAGAAAUAGAGAAUAAUAACAAAAUAGAAGUCAGCUACUCGGGAGACUGAGGGUAACAGUGAGCCAAGAUCACGACACUGCACUCCAGAGCAAGACUCCAUCCCAAAAACAAAGAAAGAGAGAAAGGAAGCAAUGAAGCAAGGAAGGGAGGAAGCAAGGAAGCAAGGA